rnacentral:misc_RNA from 1 species
AGUAUCAGUCCAUAUAUUUUUACCACGGGACGGAGGUUACCAUCUAUUUAACGAUACUCUAUUAGGAGUGUUGUCGGUGCUAUCGCAGUCGUUCGUUCGGAAUUCGGUGGUGGACUCGAUCAAGGAGUACAAAGUUUUGUUUUUUGGUUUUCUAUGAAUUAUAUAGGUAUGAGUCAAUCAAAUAGUAAUAUAAAACGCUCCAUUGACAAGAAUGAAGAUGAAGAGUCUCAUCCUCCAGUAAAGUUCCGCCGUAUGGAGGAUAAUUCAUCUUCAUCAUCGUCAUCCAAUAAUGGCGAUUCCACGGACGAAGAUGACGAUUCUUCCUCCAGCAAGUCCAGCUCUUACCAAUCCUCCUCAUCUACUGCUAAAUCAAGUUCUUCAUCAUCUGACUCUGAAAGAGUUCCGGAAGAAGAUGAGCAGCAUAUAAAGGAAUUGGCGGACAUGCUCCAUGAUGAGGACUCCAAAUCCGAAUUCGUUUUUCCAUCUACAAAUGAGAGCUCAAGUAAAGUCCUUCAUGAUGACAUAUUUGAUGACUUGAUGCACUAUGAUGCUUCAGUGGCUGAAGCUAUUACCAAUAAUCAUUUAGAGAGUAAUAGAGAGCUGAUUGAUCGACAAAUGGGACUAUUUGAGGAAGAAAAUGAACUUGAAGGAGGGGAAUCGCUGACUUCUUCUUUUACGGGUACAAGUAGUAGUAAACCCGGAAGUUCCCCUCCGCCACCUCCCGUUGAACCUCCACCACAACCACCUCCUCCACCUCCAUUAGAUUUGCCCCCUCUUCCUGCAGAUGUUGAAAGGAGUCUUGAGGAGAAUUCUCAUUGUGAUAAAGAAAUUUCUCUCCAAAAUAAUGAGGAUUUAAGUGUCUCAAAAGUCAAGGAUGGAGAACUUAAGAGUGAUUCCAAAGUCCUUGAUUCUCACCAUCAUGAUGCACAGCUUCCAAUUACCAUGAAAGAGUGCUAUAAAGAUAUUAAUCCAAAAUAUGGGUCUGAUAAUUUGUUAAAUGAAAGUAACCAUUGUCAGUCUCCCUCUGCUCCUAACAGAUUAAACCCCAUUAAUCGGAAUAUUAUUGAGAACAAAGUUGAGGCUGUUGACUUAAUUUCGAAUGAGGUUCCUUUAAUUGAAGAAGAAGAAAAAGCCGAAGGGGUUGUCAAUGAUCCUCCUCAAAAUGGAAUAAAAAUUCCGAAUAAUCCUCGCAAGAAUAUUGAUAGUAAUAAUGAAUGUCCUAGUCUAAAUACGGAAAGGAUUCUAUGUCUUAAAUCAACUUCUAGUAAACCAAAUCUAAUCAAGUGCCUUGGUGAUACGGAACAAUCUGUACAUGAAACAGUAUCAGAUGAUGAUUUUGACGAAGAGGAGCUUGAUGCUCUUGUCAAUGGUGAUGUAACUGUUCGGAAACAAGAAGAACAGGAAGAACCUACUAUCGCUCAUGAAGAGAGAAUAAAAAUUAUUUUGGAUGAUCGUUCUAAAAAAAACUUUUUUGAAGUAUUGCCUGAUGGAUGGAUUCAAGUUACACAUUCAUCUGGAAUGCCUAUUUAUCUUCACCGUCCCAGUCGAGUUGUGUCUCUGUCAAAACCAUAUUUCUUGGGGAAAGGAAGUGUCAAGCAUCAUGCUAUUCCUGUUUCUUCCAUUCCUUGUUUGAGUUACAAGCGUGGACUUGAGGAAGAAGCUGAGGCUAAAAAGAGACUUGAAGCAGAGCUUAACGAUCCAGAUAAAUUAAAAAAUGGAUGUCCUAUAUUUCCUAAGGCUAGAGUCCAAAGUAUUGAAGAAUUUGCUGUCAGUGAAUCUUUAAAUUCCGAACAGUUUCGAGAAUUUUGCAAAGGGCGAUUCAUAUUUAAAGAACUACGAAUAAAAAAGUUUAAUAAUUGGACCGAUAGGCGAAAAUUUCAAAAACAGGUUGUUAAAAAGUCUUUGAAAGCUGCGAUUGAUAAAACGAAGCAAAGUCUGGCGAAUGACUCUUCCUUAAAAGAUAUUAAAAACUCUGGAAUUCCAGAAAUAAAAUCUGAAACUAAUAACACAAAUCCUAACAAAGAAAGGCCAACCUUACCGGAAGGAACAAAAGUAUUAUCUGUACCCAUGAUUGAGUUAGAGCCUUUAGAUGGUAACUCUGACAAUGCAUCAGCACUCAAUCAAAAAGUAGUUAAAAAAUCACGCAAGGAAUGGAUUAUUAAUCCCGUUGGAAAGUCAAUGGUUUGUAUUUUGCACGAAUAUAUACAACAGUGUCUGAAAACACAACCCACAUAUCGAUUCGAGGAAAUGGAGUCAUCUGCUACUCCUUAUAGUGCUACUGUUAUAAUUAAUGGUAUGGAAUACGGUCGAGGAUUUGGAACCUCUAAAAAAAUUGCCAAAAGUGAAGCAGCUCGAAUAACAAUCGGGAUCCUUAUACCUGAAAUAAAAAAUUCCAUUCCAUCUAAAUCACAGGAGGGGGAAGUGGAUGCACCAGAUUUAUCUUUUUUUGACGAUAUUCGUAUUGAAGAUCCUCGUGUCAAUGAACUCUGUAGUAGAACAAGUGAACCUUCUCCUUAUACAAUAUUAUUAAAUUGCCUUCAAAGAAAUUAUGGACUUGGCGAUUUGAAUAUUACGACGGAAUUAAAGCCACUUCGAAAUAAAAAAAAUGAAUUUACCAUGAGAGUCGAUAAAAGAGAGGUAAAAGUUGUUUGUAAAAAUAAGCGUGAUGGCAAGCAACUUGCUUCUCAAAAGCUCCUUCAACUUUUACAUCCUCAUGUAAAAUCCUGGGGCUCUUUAUUGAGUCUCUAUGGAAAUCGUGCUGCUCGAAUCCAAAAAGUUAAAAAAGCCAAAGAAUCUGAGGUGACAGAACUACAGUCUCGCUCGUCAGCAGAUGCUGCUCCCAGUAUUGCAAUAUUAGAGAAAUUGCGAAAAGAAAUGCUUAACUUACGUGCAGCAAGGAAUGCAAUGGCUCCUAUUGGCAAAUUUGUAAUGCCUCUCUCAUCCACCACUCCAAGUGGAUGUAAAAUUGAACGAAUUAAUCUUUAAAAGUAUGCUGCUUCUGCUUUAAGUAAUGCUCAUAUGCUGCUACUCUCCUGCUGUUUAGUGCAAUUCAAUUUUCAAACAAAACCAAAAAAAAGAUAAAAAUAAUUGUCAUGUUUCCCUUAAUAUGUAUGUUAAAUAUACUCAUUUGAAAAAAAAGUGUUUUUUUUAAAUGCAAUAAUAUUCUUA